rnacentral:rRNA from 1 species
GUGCGAUCAUACCAGCACUAAUGCACCGGAUCCCAUCAGAACUCUGCAGUUAAGCGUGCUUGGCCGAGAGUAGUAAUAGGAUGGGUGACCUCCUGGGAAAUCCUCGUGUUGCACCCC